GUGAAGAACGUAGUGAAAUGCGAUAAGUAAUGUGAAUUGCAGAAUUCAGUGAAUCAUCGAAUCUUUGAACGCACCUUGCGCCCUUUGGCCAUUCCGAAGGGCAUGCCUGUUUGAGUAUCAUGAACACCUCAACUCUUCAUGGUUUUCCAUGAUGAGCUUGGACUUUGGGGGUCUUGCUGGCCUGUGGGUCGGCUCCUCUCAAAUGAAUCAGCUUGCCGGUUUUUGGUGGGCAUCACAGGUGUGAUAACUAUCUACGCUUGUGGUUUUCCACCAGGGUAACCUUCAGCAGUGGAGGUUCACUGGAGCUUACAAAUGUCUCUCCUCUGUGAGGACAGCCCUUUGAAUGUUUGAUCUCAAAUCAGGUAGGACUACCCGCUGAACUUAAGCAUAUCAAUAAGCGGAGGA
rnacentral:misc_RNA from 1 species